rnacentral:rRNA from 1 species
AGGGUUUGAUCAUGGCUCAGAACGUACGCUGGCGGCACGCCUAACACAUGCAAGUCGAACGCAGUAGCAAUACUGAGUGGCAAACGGGUGAGUAUAAUGUGGGAAUCUGCCUUUUGGUUUGGAAUAACACGGGGAAACUUGUGCUAAUACCGAAUAAGCCCUUACGGGGAAAGUUUUAAUGCCGAAAGAUGAGCCCGCACUUGAUUAGCUAGUUGGUAAGGUAAAAGCUUACCAAGGCAACGAUCAAUAGCUGUUCUUAGAGGAAGACCAGCCACAUUGGGACUGAGACACGGCCCAGACUCCUACGGGAGGCAGCAGUGGGGAAUCUUGCACAAUGGGGGAAACCCUGAUGCAGCGAUGCCGCGUGAGUGAAGAAGGCCUUUGGGUUGUAAAACUCUUUCGUCGGGGAAGAAAAUGACUGUACCCGAAUAAGAAGGUCCGGCUAACUUCGUGCCAGCCGCCGCGGUAAUAC